CUGAGGCUCAAAAAAUGAAGAAAUUUGUCCAUGGUUUCAAGGUAAGCUGGCUUGUGAGAGGGCCAUGUGCUAGGAACUGGGAGUGGCGUCUGAGAGCCAAGAGCAACUUUUGACAAGCAGCUAACAAGAAAACAACAACAAGGAACUGAAUUUUGCCACAAACCUGAAUCAGCUGACAAGUGGACCCUGAGCAUUAGAAGAGAGCACAGCCCUGGCUGACACGUUGAUUUCAUUCUGGUGAGACCCUGAGUAGAUGACCCAGCUAACUCAUGCCUGGAAUCCUGGCCCAUAGACAGUAUGAGAUAAUAAAUUUUUGUUUUAAACCAAUAA